rnacentral:rRNA from 1 species
UACGGGGGGAGCAAGCGUUGUUCGGAUUUACUGGGCGUAAAGGGCGCGUAGGCGGCGCAACAAGUCACUUGUGAAAUCUCCGGGCUUAACCCGGAGCGGUCAAGUGAUACUGUCGUGCUAGAGUGCGGAAGGGGCUACUGGAAUUCUCGGUGUAGCGGUGAAAUGCGUAGAUAUCGAGAGGGAACACCUGCGGCGAAGGCGGGUAGCUGGGCCGACACUG